rnacentral:misc_RNA from 1 species
UUAACUAUUAUAUAGUACUCGGACGACACUGUAAGACAGGGUUUAAGGGGUCUCUGGCGGGCGCGCACCAGCCGGGGCCGGUGGCCAAAAAGGCGGCCCGCCAAAGCAACAAAGGCAAUGUAUACAUAGGGUGGGAGGUCUACCCCGAAGGGCAUGAACUCUGUAAUGAUCCUUCCGCAGGUUCACCUACGGAAA